AGAGGAUGAGAUGGCUGGAUGGCAUCACUGACUCGAUGGACGUGAGUCUGAGUGAACUCCAGGUUUCCAGAUUGUGGUGAGCCGUAUCCUCGGCUGGUGGACCUGAAUUUAGCUGGCGAUCCUACUGAAGGAGCCUCAGUGGUAGUGCAGAGGGACUAUGGCUUUUGGUGUCCCUGAGAGUUGAAAAUUGAUCCUGAUCUUGGCUGUUACUUUUUGCAAGUGCAUGAUUGUUCACCUCCUUGUCCAAAUAUGUACUUUAGGAGAGAAGAGCUUUCAUUUGCUCAGUAUUUCAUAGGAUUGAUUUCAAUCAUUUGCCUCUCUGCCACGUUGUUUACUUUUUUAACUUUUUUGAUUGAUGUGGUAAGAUUCUGUUAUCCUGAAAGACCCAUUAUAAUUUAUGCCACUGCUACAUGAUGGAGUCAUUAAUUUUCUUUAUUUGGUUUUUGCUUGAGGACCGAGUCGCCUGCAAUGCAUCCAGCCCUGCACAGUAUCAGGCUUCCACAGUGACCCAAGGAUCUCAUAACAAAGCCUGUAUCAUGCUUUUUAUGAUACUCUAUUUUUUUACUAUGGCUGGCAGCGUUUGGUGGGUGAUUCUUACCAUCACGUGGUUCUAGGCAGCUGUGCCAAAGUGGGGUAGUAAAGCUAUUGAGAAGAAAUCCUUGCUGUUUCAUGCCAGUGCGUGGGGCAUCCCUGGAAUGCUGACCAUCAUCCUUUUAGCGAUGAAUAAAAUUGAAGGUGACAGUA